rnacentral:rRNA from 1 species
UACGUAGGGUGCAAGCGUUAAUCGGAAUUACUGGGCGUAAAGCGUGCGCAGGCGGCUUUGCAAGACAGAUGUGAAAUCCCCGGGCUUAACCUGGGAACUGCAUUUGUGACUGCAUGGCUGGAGUGCGGCAGAGGGGGGGAUGGAAUUCCGCGUGUAGCAGUGAAAUGCGUAGAUAUGCGGAGGAACACCGAUGGCGAAGGCAAUCCCCUGGGCCUGCACUGACGCUCAUGCACGAAAGCGUGGGGAG